rnacentral:rRNA from 1 species
UGAAGGAAUACCAGUGGCGAAGGCGGCCCCCUGGACAGACACUGACACUCAGAUGCGAAAGCGUGGGGAGCAAACAGGAUUAGAUACCCUGGUAGUCCACGCCGUAAACGAUGUCUACUUGGAGGUUGUGGCCUUGAGCCGUGGCUUUCGGAGCUAACGCGUUAAGUAGACCGCCUGGGGAGUACGGUCGCAAGAUUAAAACUCAAAUGAAUUGACGGGGGCCCGCACAAGCGGUGGAGCAUGUGGUUUAAUUCGAUGCAACGCGAA